rnacentral:rRNA from 1 species
AUUGAACGCUGGCGGCAUGCCUAACACAUGCAAGUCGAACGAAUGGCGGACGGGUGAGUAAUGUCUGGGAAACUGCCUGAUGGAGGGGGAUAACGACUGGAAACGGUAGCUAAUACCGCAUACCAUCGGAUGUGCCCAGAUGGGAUUAGCUAGUAGGUGGGGUAACGGCUCACCUAGUCGACGAUCCCUAGCUGGUCUGAGAGGAUGACCAGCCAAACUGGAACUGAGACACGGUCCAGACUCCGACGGGAGGCAGCAGUGGGGAAUAUUGCACAAUGGGCGAAAGCCUGAUGCAGCCAUGCCGCGUGGAUGAAGAAGGCCUUCGGGUUGUAAAGUACUUUCAGCGGGGAGGCGUUACCCGCAGAAGAAGCACCGGCUAACUACGUGCCAGCAGCCGCGGUAAGUC